AGCACACAACACACAGCACACACAUCUCAGCACACAGCACACAGAUCUCAUCGCUCAGCACCCGUAACUCGAGCUCCUGCAGAAACGCCACAUGUGCAGAAACCUCAGCGCUGUUCUGUCUGACUGAUCACAUUAACAUUAUAUAUAACGUAUUUAUAUCAUGGUUUGUCUAAAUAGCUGGAAGAUGUGCUGCAUGAGUGAGGCAGCAAUUCUGAAGUUUUAAGCUUCCUGAGUCCGCCUGUGUGACUGUAUCGUGUCCACGAAGGCAGAAAUUAAGAGAGAACAAUGAUGCGUAUGAGGCUCAGGUCAGAAGAUAACCAUGGGAGCGUGCAGAUUUACUCUGAUGACUCAGCAAAGCCAUCAGAGCUCUGGCUCACACUCUUCACUCAGUGAAUCUGUGCUCAGGAUACACUCUCCUCGUUAAAGAAACGACCGAUUGGCGGAGAUAAAAACCCGGACUGCUCAGAACGAGAUCAGCAAACACCCAGCACAGACGGAUCUGCCAGAUCUAAUUUCUGGUAAAGGGAAUGAAGAUGGAUGCAACAUUGACACUUGCUUCCAGACAAGAGUGUACACACAUUCAGGAUAAAGAUUUGUUUUGUGUAAAUUAUAUUUUCCCAAAUAUUUCCAGAAGUAAUUAAACCUGUUCUAAAAUUAAUAAACUCUUCCAUCAGCACUGGUUAUGUACCUAAAUCCUUCAAACUGGCAGUUAUCAACCCCUAAUUAGGAAACCUGACCUUGACACUGACAAGGGUUGUUGGAAUAAAGGGAACAGCUCUCUCCUGGCUUAGGUCUUAUUAGACCGAUUGCUAUCAGAUUGAUGAUGUAAAUGGUGAGUUAGCUAAAGUUCGGUGUUCCACAAGGA